GCCAAACAUCAUUUUAGAGUUUAUGACUUUUCAAAAAGCCAAUAAGUCAAUAAGUUGUUUCAAAAAGCUUACCCAAACAUGCCCAAAGUGUAGGUGUAUGCUUUGACUUUUCUUGUUAAUUAUUUGACUUUCUUGUUAGUUAUAUGUUGUAGUUCAUUUUCGCAUAACAAAUUGACCAGUUUCUUGUUAGCUAUAUGUUGUAGUUCAUUUUCGUUUAACUAAACAAUACUUCUGCCAAACAAAAUUAUUAUUAUAUUAUAGCGCUUUAAUCAUUUCUAAAGGAUACUAUUAUUUAGACUAGAAGGUAUGGGGGCCGGCUGAGGCCCGGCUAGGACCGGCGCCGGUCCCCCACACCGCCCCCCGGGGCUCGGCUCGGCACAACCGGCCACCCACAGCCGGGGUAGCCGGACCUUCUUCUCCUCUCUUCUCUCACAUAUACCUAUACAUACAUACAUAUAUAUACAUAAAGGGGUUCAUCCCCCACCCCCUAGGUCCAUCCCCUCUAAGCCACUUCUACGUGGCGCCUACGUGGCGGCUCAUCCCCUCCAAGCCCAUCCUCUCCAUACCCUUUAGUCUUAAACAUGUAGAAUUCUAUGUGGAACAACCAGGAUCCAGAUCAAGUAGUUGGAACAACUGCUAUUUUGAAAGAGACCGAUAGUUUAACCGUUACUGUUGAUGACAUUCUCAAAGCUGGAGCUAGCAUAUCAUCAGCAAUUACCAAAGAGGACACAUGGCUAUGUGGGUUUGGUAGCUGGUUCGAUGCCCAUUUUAAAAUGUCGAGUAUUCAAGUUUCGGUGGCUGUGUUCAUAAACAGUAGUUGGAUGAUGGCAUUCAGACAUUGAUAUGUGAUUUUAAAUAAUACAGACAGAAAUGACAACUGCCGAAAAGGAACCUGACUAGAAUACCAAUUUUGACUGGAAUCGGAUUCAAGAAAGUGGACAGGAAGUUGAACCACUUUACGGGCCUGAGUAUACAGGUCUUACCAAUCUUGGUAACAGUUGCUAUUUGGCUGCAACUAUUUGGUCAGCUACAGGGACCUUCUAUGUACUUUACUAUUCUUUUUAAGGCUGAUGCAUCCAGAUAUGAAGAGGCAUGCAGAAAAUUGCUACAUUUUCACCGUGUAGAAGUUAAGAUAUGUCGUAUGCGUUUGUUUAUCUCUUUCGGCUACUAAUUUUGACACUUGACAACACUAAGUUUGUUCUUUCAGCGAAAUAAAUGCUCGAGUUUUCUAUUCAAAUGCGGAGCAAAGAGAAGCGACAGUUGCUGCAGAGAGGCGUGCAGUUGAUGAAAGAGUGGAAAAAGAAUCGAACUAAAAAA